rnacentral:tRNA from 1 species
GGGGGUAUAACUCAACUUGGUAGAGUGUAUGCUUUGCACGCAUAAAGUUAUCGGUUCAAAUCCGAUUGUCUCCA